AGAUUGAACGCUGGCGGCAUGCCUUACACAUGCAAGUCGAACGGCAGCGCGGGAGCAAUCCUGGUGGCGAGUGGCGAACGGGUGAGUAAUACAUCGGAACGUGCCUAGUAGUGGGGGAUAGCCCGGCGAAAGCCGGAUUAAUACCGCAUACGACCUACGGGUGAAAGCGGGGGAUCGCAAGACCUCGCGCUAUUGGAGCGGCUGAUGUCAGAUUAGGUAGUUGGUAGGGUAAAAGCCUACCAAGCCGACGAUCUGUAGCUGGUCUGAGAGGACGACCAGCCACACUGGGACUGAGACACGGCCCAGACUCCUACGGGAGGCAGCAGUGGGAAUUUGGACAAGUGGGCGCAAGCCUGAUCCAGCCAUGCCGCGUGCGGGAAGAAGGCCUUAGGGUUGUAAACCGUCUUUGUCGAGGAAGAACGCAACGUGGACCAAGUACUCCCGGUAGUAACGUGACCGGUAACC
rnacentral:rRNA from 1 species